rnacentral:rRNA from 1 species
AACGAACGCUGGCGGCAGGCUUAACACAUGCAAGUCGAGCGCCCCGCAAGGGGAGCGGCAGACGGGUGAGUAACGCGUGGGAAUCUACCCAUCUCUACGGAAUAACGCAUGGAAACGUGUGCUAAUACCGUAUACGUCCUUCGGGAGAAAGAUUUAUCGGAGAUGGAUGAGCCCGCGUUGGAUUAGCUAGGUGGUGUGGUAAAGGCCUACCAAGGCGACGAUCCAUAGCUGGUCUGAGAGGAUGAUCAGCCACACUGGGACUGAGACACGGCCCAGACUCCUACGGGAGGCAGCAGUGGGGAAUAUUGGACAAUGGGCGCAAGCCUGAUCCAGCCAUGCCGCGUGAGUGAUGAAGGCCCUAGGGUUGUAAAGCUCUUUCACCGGUGAAGAUAAUGACGGUAACCGGAGAAGAAGCCCCGGCUAACUUCGUGCCAGCCGCCGCAGUAAUAC